AGACAAGGGACACAAGAAGCUGAGCUGCUUCAGCCUCAAAAGCUAAUCACAAUAAAAAAAACCCUGGACAACAUAUGUAAGUCUUUCACCUGAAGACUCCGAAAGAUAGAGAAAAGAAAGCUGACUGGCUGGAGAUCUCAGGAAUAGAAAAACCACCUGGGGAAUUGGAAAUAAUUGGAUACCCCCUUGGAUACUGCAAUGGGACUGCAGGGAAUAGCUGCAGAAGAGAAUACAGUGAAGCACUGCCCCCUGGUGGUCAUAAUAUUCAACGGGGAAUAAUAACUGUAAUACCUAAGGAUU